CCGGCCGCUCCGCCCGCCUCCCCACGCGCGGGGCCGCCCCUCGCCCUGCUCCCGGCCGUCGGGUCACGCAGGUCAGCGCUGCACCUGCCCCGGGUCAGCCCGUCUUCCAGGUCAGGGCACGUGAUACGGGGACGCGGCGGCCUCCCCAGACGGCGCGGGAAACCUACAGGCAAAGAAUCUGAAUGGACUUUUUCCACACAGAGUACUUCGUGGGCUCUGGUGGAUGCUGGGGUGCCUGCGAGUGGAGAGGGCGACGUCCCCGUCCCUGGCCGGCAGGGGAGGAGGGGCAGGGCCACAGCCUGCUGCGGCUGUCCCAUGCAUAGAGAGGUACCGGCCACACGACGGUGACCACAAGCAUCGAGAAGGAUGUGGGGAGACUGAGGCCCCAUAACCUGGCAGCUCCUCAGGACACUUGGGGGAGUCAGACGUCACCCAGCAAUUCCGCUCCGGUGUUGCCCCCAGAUGUCGUGUGUUGGCACAGACCUACCCAAAUGUUGGCAGCAGCCAAAAUGUGAAAACAAUGCAAACGCCCAUCAACUGGCAAGUGGAUACAUUCAAUGUGAUGUGGUCACACGACAGACUGUGAUGACAGGGCGGCCGGAGCACUGACCCCCGUGGGGACCAGGAGGCCUUCUGAGAAGACCAUCAUCUUUAUGAUCAUGGAAGAAGCUGGUCACACCACCGCGUGUCAUAUGGUCCUGGUUACACGCAGCGCCCCGCGUGGGCAAGUCUGUACAGAGAGAAGUGGUCACCUGUGGCUGAGGGCACUGAGUAAUGCAUGUACUUCACUGUGCACGUGCAAGAGUGUGUGUUUGUACUUUUAGGGGGUAACAAAAAUAUCUAAAAUUGUGGUGAUGGUCAUACGACCCUGAAUAUACUAAAACCCGUCGAACCAGAUACUUUAAGUGUGUAAAUUGCAUAGGAUGUAGAUACACAUGCAACAUAGGUACACACGUCACACAUGAGGGUGAGGGGUGUUAUAAGUUCUGUCAUUCAUUUUCUGUUUUAAAAAAUAUUUUAAAAAGACAGUAAUUUGGAGCGCCUGGGUAGCUCACUCAGUGAAGUGUCUGUCUUCGGCUCAGGUCAUGAUCCCAGGGUCCUCGGAUUGAGCCUCACAUGGGCUCCCUGCUCCUGGGAAGCCUGCUUUGCCCCCUCUCGUUCCCCUGGCUUGUUCUCUCUCUCUCUCUCUCUCUCUCUCUCUCUCUCUGACUGUUAAACAAACAAAUAAAUAAAUAAAAAUCUUAAAAAAAGAAAAGGGA
rnacentral:lncRNA from 1 species